AGAGCGAGAGCGACCGAGAGGUACGAAUAUGGUUGGCCACCCCCCGCCCUCAUUCAAUGCGGAGGCCUUCAAAUCCGUCUCUUCUUCUGUUCUUUUCUACGCCCGGCCGUCUCCACCGGCAAACCCUGAAGCUCUGCUACUUCCCUCCCCUUCUCGUAACCCAACCACCCAGGAUCCGUGCUCAAUAUAUUUCUCUCUUUCUUGAGAUAUUUCCUCCCAUUCCCCAACCCGAACUCCUCUGCUCCUUUCUCGGCAACCCGAAUAUCUUCGGGCGUCGUGGUGGAUAUGGCAGAAGAAGGCGCCGGCGAUGACAUGACCGCACCGGCACCGGCACCGGCUCCUAUCGAGGUCGUUCUGAUCUCCGCCGGAGCCAGCCACUCCGUCGCGCUUCUCUCUGACAAUGUGGUCUGCUCUUGGGGAAGGGGUGAAGAUGGACAGUUGGGCCAUGGAGAUGCUGAAGAUCGACAUCUUCCGACACUAUUAAGUGCAUUGAAUAACCCAGGCUUUGUGUCUGUUACUUGUGGAGCUGAUCAUACAACAGCAUAUUCUGAAUCAGAAUUGCAAGUUUACAGCUGGGGAUGGGGUGAUUUUGGAAGGUUAGGGCAUGGAAAUUCUAGUGAUGUCUUUACUCCACAACCAAUCAAAGCAUUACAAGGAUUAAAAAUUAAACAGAUUGCUUGUGGUGAUAGCCAUUGUUUGGCUGUGACUGUGGAUGGGGUGGUGCAAAGUUGGGGGCGGAACCAAAAUGGGCAACUGGGUCUUGGAACCACUGAAGAUUCUCUUGUACCUCAAAAGAUUCAAGCCUUUCAGGGAAUUGCUGUCAAAAUGGUUGCAGCAGGUGCUGAACAUACUGCUGCAGUUACUGAAGAUGGUGAGCUCUAUGGUUGGGGAUGGGGCCGGUAUGGAAAUUUGGGUUUAGGUGACCGUAAUGAUCGGUUAGUCCCAGAGAAAGUUUCUGCUAUAGAGGGACAGAAAAUGGUGCUUGUCGCAUGUGGGUGGCGUCAUACCAUAGCUGCGUCUGCCUCUGGGAACUUAUACACAUUUGGAUGGAGCAAAUAUGGUCAACUAGGGCAUGGAGACUUUGAGGAUCACCUUAUUCCGCAUCAGUUGGAGGCAUUAAAAGAUAGCUGCAUUUCUCAGAUAUCAGGUGGAUGGAGACAUACGAUGGCACUCACAUCAGAUGGAAGGCUUUACGGAUGGGGAUGGAAUAAGUUUGGACAACUUGGUGUGGGUGAUAAUGUUGAUCACUGCUCUCCAGUAGAAGUUAAAUUUCCAGAUGAACAGAAAGUUGUCCAAAUCUCAUGUGGAUGGAGGCACACUCUUGCUCUUACCGAAAAAAGAAACGUAUUUUCAUGGGGAAGGGGUACCAGUGGACAGCUUGGCCAUGGAGAUAUUUUUGACCGGUGGUUGAGAGAUGAUAAUGCUGUUGGACUUCUGACAUUUUUGAUAGUGCUGGUGUUAAAUUUAGCUCUGCCCUUUUUUUAAGGAUCUAAGAUCAUAUUUGCAAGAACAUUCCCAAGAUGAUCGAGGUUUUAAGUGCGGAUGGGUCAGGUUGCAAGGAUUUAGCAUCCUCGAAAGUGGAUUUGACAGGCAAAGUCUGGAUUUCACCAUCUGAAAGAUACGCUGUUGUUCCUGAUGAAACUGUAACAAAAGAAGCAGCAAAUCCGAUCAGGGGCAAUGGGAAUGAUACAAGUGUACCAGAGAGUGAUGUCAAGAGAAUUAGGGUCUAGUUAGUCUUCUGUCUCUCAUGCCAUGUAUUAUGCAUGGCAUUUGGCUGUGUUUCCUCCGUAAGAAACUGAUGCUUUGGUUCUUUAUAAGAAUAUUAUAUCUCCUCCAUUUUCAUGUUUUCUUCAUUUAAAAUGGUUAUUUGGCUACUUUUGGCUUGCACCAUGAAAUAAUCAUGGGUUUGGCUUCAUUGGUUGCACAAUGAAAUAAUCACAUUAUAAAGCAGUCCAUGAGUAUACGUUUUCUGCUAA